UCAGAUUGAACGCUGGCGGCAGGCCUAACACAUGCAAGUCGAACGGUAACAGGAAGAAGCUUGCUUCUUUGCUGACGAGUGGCGGACGGGUGAGUAAUGUCUGGGAAACUGCCUGAUGGAGGGGGAUAACUACUGGAAACGGUAGCUAAUACCGCAUAACGUCGCAAGACCAAAGAGGGGGACCUUCGGGCCUCUUGCCAUCGGAUGUGCCCAGAUGGGAUUAGCUAGUAGGUGGGGUAACGGCUCACCUAGGCGACGAUCCCUAGCUGGUCUGAGAGGAUGACCAGCCACACUGGAACUGAGACACGGUCCAGACUCCUACGGGAGGCAGCAGUGGGGAAUAUUGCACAAUGGGCGCAAGCCUGAUGCAGCCAUGCCGCGUGUAUGAAGAAGGCCUUCGGGUUGUAAAGUACUUUCAGCGGGGAGGAAGGGAGUAAAGUUAAUACCUUUGCUCAUUGACGUUACCCGCAGAAGAAGCACCGGCUAACUCCGUGCCAGCAGCCGC
rnacentral:rRNA from 1 species